UGGGGAAUAUUGGACAAUGGGCGAAAGCCUGAUCCAGCCAUGCCGCGUGUGUGAAGAAGGCCUUUUGGUUGUAAAGCACUUUAAGUGGGGAGGAAAAGCUUAUGGUUAAUACCCAUAAGCCCUGACGUUACCCACAGAAUAAGCACCGGCUAACUCUGUGCCAGCAGCCGCGGUAAUACAGAGGGUGCAAGCGUUAAUCGGAAUUACUGGGCGUAAAGCGCGCGUAGGUGGUUAUUUAAGUCGGAUGUGAAAGCCCCGGGCUUAACCUGGGAACUGCAUCUGAUACUGGAUAACUAGAGUAGGUGAGAGGGGAGUAGAAUUCCAGGUGUAGCGGUGAAAUGCGUAGAGAUCUGGAGGAAUACCGAUGGCGAAGGCAGCUCCCUGGCAUCAUACUGACACUGAGGUGCGAAAGCGUGGGUAGCAAACAGGAUUAGAUACCCUGGUAGUCCACGCCGUAAACGAUGUCUACCAGUCGUUGGGUCUUUUAAAGACUUAGUGACGCAGUUAACGCAAUAAGUAGACCGCCUGGGGAGUACGGCCGCAAGGUUA
rnacentral:rRNA from 1 species